AAAAAAAAAAAAAAAAAAGAGUUCUUAAUAUCUAAUAAGCAAUCUCCUGCACAAUGUGUAACUUCUCCCCGUGUUGGGACCUGCUCUUUCAUGCUGAUCAUGAUGGUAGUUGGAAGUCAUUUAAGUAGGCCAAGUUGAGAGCUGUUCUUCAUGGUGCCCCCAAAAGAAUUGCCACACAAUAACAGCCCAGAAUAUCCCCAACAGACUCGUCAACAGGGACCUAGCUAGCAUGACCAGCCGGAACACUCUUAUGGCUGAAUUGGUGUGUCCUCAAAACCUUUCAAAUGGCCGG
rnacentral:lncRNA from 10 species